AUGUUCUGUAACAAUCGUCUCCUACCACCCCAACAAUAUUCUCAUGGAAAAGUAUUCUUCCCUGAACAACGAUCAUCCAAGAAGAUUUCCAUCCAACGUAUCUCCCCAAAAAGAUACUAUUCACAUUGGCUGUUUUAACAGAUUCAACUGGAGGCUGAUGACGACAUGAGGUCAACAAACUUCUCCAAGCUCCAAAAUGAAAAACAAAAGCAUAGAUCCACCAUU